UUACUAAUCUGAAAAACUAUAAUUCCCGAUAUGAAAAGCGGGAAUAAAAGCGGCAAUUCCCGUCAACGAUUUACGAUUUAAUAAUAACCAUAAACAUCGCCAAGCCGACAUGCCUCGCCUCCGCAAGAAGAACAGUAAGAGGACUAAGGUUUGUCCGGAAUUAUUAUUGCCAAAGAAGUUGAUAAAAACUCCGAGGAAGAAAAGGGUCAAAGUUGAUAUGAUAAAGAUGGAACAUUUAGAAAGCAUCGAAGGGGACUACAUAUUACAAUUUAUACCGUCGAAAACCACUAGAGAUGAGGAACAUUUAGUCACCAAGAAGAUUGAUGUUCAUACUAAAGCUCUCAAGAAACUUAUUACCACUAGUUUCAGUUUUGUCCGAAAUUAUGAAUUCUUAAUCAGUUCUGCUAAAGAGGUGCUGCGCCUUGUUAAUUGCUACAUCAAGGAUUCCAAGUUGCAGCCUUUCAACUACACUUGGAAAGUUUAUGACCCACCAAGGAAAGAUUAUAAGCCACCAAAUGUUUCUGCCUAUACCUGCAACCUUGCCAAAAACGGUUAUGCAAGUGUUUAUACGAAUUCUUGGAUUCAUCCGGAGAAUGUUUUAUUUAUUGAUCAUAUGGAACCUUCUCUUAUAAAACAUCCUUUGAACCAAAAGGAAAGCAAAAUCUGGCUGGAGUUUAAAAAGCUGGAUAAAGGGAAUUCUGUAGAAGUAAAAGAAGAAAGGUCGAUUAAUAUUUCUUAUCCCCUUGUUGGUGUUAUUGGUGGCUUUGCGGUUGCUGCUUUCAACAAGGCUUGUAUCAAGAAGGUUGAACACAACCUCCAUGAUUUCGAAUAUAUGGAGUGCAAAUAUGUGAAAGAUACUGAGGAUUAUCUCUUCUACAUGACCAUAGAGGCCAUCGAAGAAGGGAAUCUUGGUGUGUAUGAGGCUAUAGUUGUGUGUCCAAGGGCUGAUGUUGUUGGAACAUCUCUCCAGUUAACAUUGCUCAAGUUCGUUCUUACUGACCGUACACCAGUUGGUGCAAAAGCAAUGGCAUUAUCUCUUUUUUCUUGCAUGAGAUCCUUAUGCAAAGCGUUGGAAGAUGAUGCAGAGGAAAAAGCAAAUGAGAUUUCUCGGAUACAUAAUAGCACGAGAGGUAUGAUAAGGGGCCAAGCGUAUCGUGAAAUGAGUUUUCUUGGAUAUUUCGAGUGUGCAGUUAUGAAAGGUAUUCGGCGAGUGCUUUAUUUGAACCUUGAGUUACUGUUUGAGCCGGAUUGCACCCGAAGAAAUGAUCCAGAUGAUUGGUUUGUUCUCAACAGUAGCUCGAUGGUGCCUAGGAACAAUGGCACGCCUUGUUAUGACUAUGAUAACUACAAUCAGUAUCUCAUGGCCAGGAACUAAGAGGAUAAUAUGUUGCUGGCUGAUAAUUUAAUGGUCUUUUAUAUAGAGAGACCACAAACAUGUAUGAACCAAGACCGACAAUGUUUUAGAGUGAUAUGACAUGAUAGAUGAGGUGCUUCACUUCCUUGCCACAUGGUUGAUGAGUUAUCAUAAUAUUGUCGGCCUUGGCAAAAAAAUGAGACUGAUUUAUGGAAAGAAUCUUAAGAGCAGCUUUUGAAUUCUUGUAAAUAAGUUUAAAAUUAUCUACCUUGUGUUUGGUUGUGUAAUUUAUGGUCCUAACGAUGUCUAGGCUAUAUGUUUGGUCCUCUUUUGAGGCAUGUCUCUUUGAUGAAACCUGUAUGUCAAUGAAAUUCGGAGUGCUAGCUGCAGCUAUGUACAAGGUUUAUCCUAAA